rnacentral:rRNA from 1 species
GUGGGGGAUAUUGCACAAUGGAGGAAACUCUGAUGCAGCGACGCCGCGUGAGUGAAGAAGUAUUUCGGUAUGUAAAGCUCUAUCAGCAAGGAAGAAAAUGACGGUACUUGACUAAGAAGCCCCGGCUAACUACGUGCCAGCAGCCGCGGUAAUACGUAGGGGGCAAGCGUUAUCCGGAUUUACUGGGUGUAAAGGGAGCGUAGACGGUAUGGUAAGUCAGAUGUGAAAGCCCGGGGCUCAACCCCGGGACUGCAUUUGAAACUAUCAGACUAGAGUGCAGGAGAGGUAAGUGGAAUUCCUAGUGUAGCGGUGAAAUGCGUAGAUAUUAGGAGGAACACCAGUGGCGAAGGCGGCUUACUGGACUGUAACUGACGUUGAGGCUCGAAAGCGUGGGGAGCAAACAGGAUUAGAUACCCCAGUAGUCC